rnacentral:rRNA from 1 species
AGAGUUUGAUCCUGGCUCAGAAUGAACGUUGGUAGCGUGGAUUAGGCAUGCAAGUCGAGCGACAAGGGGCUUCGGCCCUGGAGGAGCGGCAAACGGGGUAGUAAGGCAUCGGAACGUACCCUCUUGUUCGGGAUAGCCGCGGGAAACUGCGAGUAAUACCGGAUAAUCCGCAGUGUGCAAACAUUGCGGCAAAGGUCCGCCGCGGGAGGAGCGGCCGAUGUGAUAUCAGGUAGUUGGCGGGGUAAUGGCCCACCAAGCCUUAGACGUCUAGGGGAUGUGAGAGCAUGAUCCCCACCACUGGGACUGAGAUACUGCCCAGACACUUACGGGUGGCUGCAGUCGAGAAUCUUCGGCAAUGGGCGCAAGCCUGACCGAGCGACGCUACGUGCGGGAUGACGGCCCUUGGGUUGUAAACCGCUGUCAGAGGGGAUGAAAGCGCAAGCUUGACAGAGCCUCAGAGGAAGCGCGGGCUAAGUUCGUGCCAGCAGCCGCGGUAAUAC